rnacentral:sRNA from 1 species
CAUGCCCCUUAUACGCUGGGCUACACACGUGCUACAAUGGGUAGAACAGAGAGUCGCAAAGCUGUGAAGUGGAGCUAAUCUCAGAAAACUAUUCUUAGUUCGGAUUGCACUCUGCAACUCGAGUACAUGAAGUUGGAAUCGCUAGUAAUCGCGAAUCACCAAUGUCGUUGGUGAAUACGUUCUCGGGUCUUGUACACACCGCCCGUCACACCACGAGAGUUGGUUGCACCUGAAGUAGCAGGCCUAACCGUAAGGAGGGAUGCUCCGAGGGUGUGAUUAGCGAUUGGGGUGAAGUCGUAACAAGGUAUCCGUACGGGAACGUGCGGAUGGAUCACCUCCUUUCUAAGGAGAAAAAGUCUUUCUCUAUUCUAUUGGUAAUGUUCUUUACAUUACUUCUGAACAUUGGAAACUAUAUAGUAGAACAAAAAUAACUCUAACAAUUUCUUAGAGUUAGCUGUCAAAAAAUAGGUUAAAAUAAUUAAGGGCACACAAAGGAUGCCUAGGUAGUAAGAGCCGAUGAAGGACGUGAUAAGCUGCGAUAAGCCUAG